rnacentral:RNase_P_RNA from 1 species
UCUGGGCAAACGCUGUAUACAAGUUAUAUAGAGGAAAGUCCAUGCUCGCACUGUCCAACUUGGAUAGUAGUGUUCGUGUAUAAGGAAAAAAUAACUUAUAGUAGUUUUUAACUAACGGCAUCGAAUUAACCUAAAGAUUAAUCCAUGGUUAUAUUAGAUAUAAAGUGCCAUAGAGACGAGUAAUCAGAAAUGAAGAAAUGGAACGAGGUAAACCCCACGAGCGAGAAACCCAAAAUAUGGUAGGGGAGCUUUUAAUCAGGUAACUAAUUAAAGGAUGCAUUUAAUGCAUAGAUAAAUGUUUGCCGCUUCAUAAGAAGCACAGAACAUGGCUUAUAA